rnacentral:tRNA from 1 species
GGUGGGAUGGCGGAUUGGUUACGCGUGCGCCUGCAGAGCGCAUUCAUGAGGGUUCGAUUCCCUCUCCCACCU